UGGUACAGUCGUUAAGCUGGGAUGCCAU
rnacentral:sRNA from 1 species